AUUGAACGCUGGCGGCAUGCCUUACACAUGCAAGUCGAACGGCAGCACGGGUGCUUGCACCUGGUGGCGAGUGGCGAACGGGUGAGUAAUACAUCGGAACGUACCUUAUCGUGGGGGAUAACGCAGCGAAAGCUGUGCUAAUACCGCAUACGCCCUGAGGGGGAAAGCGGGGGAUCGAAAGACCUCGCGCGAUUAGAGCGGCCGAUGCCUGAUUAGCUUGUUGGUGGGGUAAAAGCCCACCAAGGCGACGAUCAGUAGCUGGUCUGAGAGGACGAUCGUCCACACUGGGACUGAGACACGGCCCAGACUCCUACGGGAGGCAGCAGUGGGGAAUUUUGGACAAUGGGUGCAACCCUGAUCCAGCAAUGCCGCGUGAGUGAAGAAGGCCUUCGGGUUGUAAAGCUCUUUUGUCAGGGAAGAAACACCGGCUCUAACACAGUCCGGGAAUGACGGUACCUGAAGAAUAAGCACCGGCUAACUACGUGCCAGCAGCCGCGGUAA
rnacentral:rRNA from 1 species